rnacentral:rRNA from 1 species
UACGUAGGGUGCGAGCGUUAAUCGGAAUUACUGGGCGUAAAGCGUACGUAGGCGGCUUUGUAAGUUAGAGGUGAAAGCCCGGGGCUCAACUCCGGAAUUGCCUUUAAGACUGCAUCGCUUGAAUCAUGGAGAGGUGAGUGGAAUUCCGAGUGUAGAGGUGAAAUUCGUAGAUAUUCGGAAGAACACCAGUGGCGAAGGCGACUCACUGGACAUGUAUUGACGCUGAGGUACGAAAGCGUGGGGAGCAAACAGG